rnacentral:rRNA from 1 species
AUUGAACGCUGGCGGCAGGCCUAACACAUGCAAGUCGAACGGUAACAGGAAGCAGCUUGCUGCUUUGCUGACGAGUGGCGGACGGGUGAGUAAUGUCUGGGAAACUGCCUGAUGGAGGGGGAUAACUACUGGAAACGGUAGCUAAUACCGCAUAACGUCGAAAGACCAAAGAGGGGGACCUUCGGGCCUCUUGCCAUCGGAUGUGCCCAGAUGGGAUUAGCUAGUAGGUGGGGUAACGGCCCACCUAGGCGACGAUCCCUAGCUGGGCUGAGAGGAUGACCAGCCACACUGGAACUGAGACACGGGCCAGACUCCUACGGGAGGCAGCAGUGGGGAAUAUUGCACAAUGGGCGCAAUCCUGAUGCAGCCAUGCCGCGUGUAUGAAGAAGGCCUUCGGGUUGUAAAGUACUUUCAGCGGGGAGGAAGGGAGUAAAGUUAAUACCUUAUCUCAUUGACGUUACCCGCAGAAGAAGCACCGGCUAACUCCGUG